rnacentral:rRNA from 1 species
UACGAAGGGGGCUAGCGUUGCUCGGAAUCACGUGGCGUAAAGGGUGCGUAGGCGGGUCUUUAAGUCAGGGGUGAAAUCCUGGAGCUCAACUCCAGAACUGCCUUUGAUACUGAGGAUCUUGAGUUCGGGAGAGGUGAGUGGAACUGCGAGUGUAGAGGUGAAAUUCGUAGAUAUUCGCAAGAACACCAGUGGCGAAGGCGGCUCACUGGCCCGAUACUGACGCUGAGGCACGAAAGCGUGGGGAGCAAACAGG